GGGUUGUGAGGUUAAGCGACUAAGCGUACACGGUGGAUGCCCUGGCAGUCAGAGGCGAUGAAGGACGUGCUAAUCUGCGAUAAGCGUCGGUAAGGUGAUAUGAACCGUUAUAACCGGCGAUUUCCGAAUGGGGAAACCCAGUGUGAUUCGUCACACUAUCAUUAACUGAAUCCAUAGGUUAAUGAGGCGAACCGGGGGAACUGAAACAUCUAAGUACCCCGAGGAAAAGAAAUCAACCGAGAUUCCCCCAGUAGCGGCGAGCGAACGGGGAGGAGCCCAGAGCCUGAAUCAGUGUGUGUGUUAGUGGAAGCGUCUGGAAAGGCGCGCGAUACAGGGUGACAGCCCCGUACACAAAAAUGCACAUAUUGUGAGCUCGAUGAGUAGGGCGGGACACGUGGUAUCCUGUCUGAAUAUGGGGGGACCAUCCUCCAAGGCUAAAUACUCCUGACUGACCGAUAGUGAACCAGUACCGUGAGGGAAAGGCGAAAAGAACCCCGGCGAGGGGAGUGAAAAAGAACCUGAAACCGUGUACGUACAAGCAGUGGGAGCACGCUUCGGCGUGUGACUGCGUACCUUUUGUAUAAUGGGUCAGCGACUUAUAUUCUGUAGCAAGGUUAACCGAAUAGGGGAGCCGAAGGGAAACCGAGUCUUAACUGGGCGUUAAGUUGCAGGGUAUAGACCCGAAACCCGGUGAUCUAGCCAUGGGCAGGUUGAAGGUUGGGUAACACUAACUGGAGGACCGAACCGACUAAUGUUGAAAAAUUAGCGGAUGACUUGUGGCUGGGGGUGAAAGGCCAAUCAAACCGGGAGAUAGCUGGUUCUCCCCGAAAGCUAUUUAGGUAGCGCCUCGUGAAUUCAUCUCCGGGGGUAGAGCACUGUUUCGGCAAGGGGGUCAUCCCGACUUACCAACCCGAUGCAAACUGCGAAUACCGGAGAAUGUUAUCACGGGAGACACACGGCGGGUGCUAACGUCCGUCGUGAAGAGGGAAACAACCCAGACCGCCAGCUAAGGUCCCAAAGUCAUGGUUAAGUGGGAAACGAUGUGGGAAGGCCCAGACAGCCAGGAUGUUGGCUUAGAAGCAGCCAUCAUUUAAAGAAAGCGUAAUAGCUCACUGGUCGAGUCGGCCUGCGCGGAAGAUGUAACGGGGCUAAACCAUGCACCGAAGCUGCGGCAGCGACGCUUAUGCGUUGUUGGGUAGGGGAGCGUUCUGUAAGCCUGUGAAGGUGUGCUGUGAGGCAUGCUGGAGGUAUCAGAAGUGCGAAUGCUGACAUAAGUAACGAUAAAGCGGGUGAAAAGCCCGCUCGCCGGAAGACCAAGGGUUCCUGUCCAACGUUAAUCGGGGCAGGGUGAGUCGACCCCUAAGGCGAGGCCGAAAGGCGUAGUCGAUGGGAAACAGGUUAAUAUUCCUGUACUUGGUGUUACUGCGAAGGGGGGACGGAGAAGGCUAUGUUGGCCGGGCGACGGUUGUCCCGGUUUAAGCGUGUAGGCUGGUUUUCCAGGCAAAUCCGGAAAAUCAAGGCUGAGGCGUGAUGACGAGGCACUACGGUGCUGAAGCGACAAAUGCCCUGCUUCCAGGAAAAGCCUCUAAGCAUCAGGUAACAUCAAAUCGUACCCCAAACCGACACAGGUGGUCAGGUAGAGAAUACCAAGGCGCUUGAGAGAACUCGGGUGAAGGAACUAGGCAAAAUGGUGCCGUAACUUCGGGAGAAGGCACGCUGAUAUGUAGGUGAAGCGACUUGCUCGUGGAGCUGAAAUCAGUCGAAGAUACCAGCUGGCUGCAACUGUUUAUUAAAAACACAGCACUGUGCAAACACGAAAGUGGACGUAUACGGUGUGACGCCUGCCCGGUGCCGGAAGGUUAAUUGAUGGGGUUAGCGGUAACGCGAAGCUCUUGAUCGAAGCCCCGGUAAACGGCGGCCGUAACUAUAACGGUCCUAAGGUAGCGAAAUUCCUUGUCGGGUAAGUUCCGACCUGCACGAAUGGCGUAAUGAUGGCCAGGCUGUCUCCACCCGAGACUCAGUGAAAUUGAACUCGCUGUGAAGAUGCAGUGUACCCGCGGCAAGACGGAAAGACCCCGUGAACCUUUACUAUAGCUUGACACUGAACAUUGAGCCUUGAUGUGUAGGAUAGGUGGGAGGCUUUGAAGUGUGGACGCCAGUCUGCAUGGAGCCGACCUUGAAAUACCACCCUUUAAUGUUUGAUGUUCUAACGUUGGCCCGUAAUCCGGGUUGCGGACAGUGUCUGGUGGGUAGUUUGACUGGGGCGGUCUCCUCCUAAAGAGUAACGGAGGAGCACGAAGGUUGGCUAAUCCUGGUCGGACAUCAGGAGGUUAGUGCAAUGGCAUAAGCCAGCUUGACUGCGAGCGUGACGGCGCGAGCAGGUGCGAAAGCAGGUCAUAGUGAUCCGGUGGUUCUGAAUGGAAGGGCCAUCGCUCAACGGAUAAAAGGUACUCCGGGGAUAACAGGCUGAUACCGCCCAAGAGUUCAUAUCGACGGCGGUGUUUGGCACCUCGAUGUCGGCUCAUCACAUCCUGGGGCUGAAGUAGGUCCCAAGGGUAUGGCUGUUCGCCAUUUAAAGUGGUACGCGAGCUGGGUUUAGAACGUCGUGAGACAGUUCGGUCCCUAUCUGCCGUGGGCGCUGGAGAACUGAGGGGGGCUGCUCCUAGUACGAGAGGACCGGAGUGGACGCAUCACUGGUGUUCGGGUUGUCAUGCCAAUGGCACUGCCCGGUAGCUAAAUGCGGAAGAGAUAAGUGCUGAAAGCAUCUAAGCACGAAACUUGCCCCGAGAUGAGUUCUCCCUGACUCUUUAAGGGUCCUGAAGGAACGUUGAAGACGACGACGUUGAUAGGCCGGGUGUGUAAGCGCAGCGAUGCGUUGAGCUAACCGGUACUAAUGAACCGUGAGGCUUAACCUUACAACGCCGAAGGUGUUU
rnacentral:rRNA from 1 species